rnacentral:rRNA from 1 species
AACGAACGCUGGCGGCAUGCCUAACACAUGCAAGUCGAACGAAGCCUUCGGGCUUAGUGGCGCACGGGUGCGUAACACGUGGGAAUCUGCCCUUCGGUUCGGAAUAACAGUUAGAAAUGACUGCUAAUACCGGAUGAUGACGUAAGUCCAAAGAUUUAUCGCCGAAGGAUGAGCCCGCGUAGGAUUAGGUAGUUGGUAGGGUAAUGGCCCACCAAGCCGACGAUCCUUAGCUGGUCUGAGAGGAUGAUCAGCCACACUGGGACUGAGACACGGCCCAGACUCCUACGGGAGGCAGCAGUGGGGAAUAUUGGACAAUGGGCGAAAGCCUGAUCCAGCAAUGCCGCGUGAGUGAUGAAGGCCUUAGGGUUGUAAAGCUCUUUUACCAGGGAUGAUAAUGACAGUACCUGGAGAAUAAGCUCCGGCUAACUCCGUG